rnacentral:rRNA from 1 species
AGAGUUUGAUCCUGGCUCAGGACGAACGCUGGCGGCACGCUUAACACAUGCAAGUCGAACGAGAGAAGAGGAGCUUGCUUUUCUGAUCUAGUGGCGGACGGGUGAGUAACACGUGAGCAAUCUGCCUUUCAGAGGGGGAUACCGAUUGGAAACGAUCGUUAAUACCGCAUAACAUAAUUGAACCGCAUGAUUUGAUUAUCAAAGAUUUAUCGCUGAAAGAUGAGCUCGCGUCUGAUUAGCUAGUUGGUAAGGUAACGGCUUACCAAGGCGACGAUCAGUAGCCGGACUGAGAGGUUGAUCGGCCACAUUGGGACUGAGACACGGCCCAGACUCCUACGGGAGGCAGCAGUGGGGAAUAUUGCACAAUGGAGGAAACUCUGAUGCAGCGAUGCCGCGUGAGGGAAGAAGGUUUUAGGAUUGUAAACCUCUGUCUUCAGGGACGAAAAAAGACGGUACCUGAGGAGGAAGCUCCGGCUAACUACGUGCCAGCAGCCGCGGUAAUACGUAGGGAGCGAGCGUUGUCCGGAAUUACUGGGUGUAAAGGGAGCGUAGGCGGGAUCGCAAGUCAGAUGUGAAAACUAUGGGCUUAACCCAUAAACUGCAUUUGAAACUGUGGUUCUUGAGUGAAGUAGAGUUAAGCGGAAUUCCUAGUGUAGCGGUGAAAUGCGUAGAUAUUAGGAGGAACAUCAGUGGCGAAGGCGGCUUACUGGGCUUUAACUGACGCUGAGGCUCGAAAGCGUGGGGAGCAAACAGGAUUAGAUACCCUGGUAGUCCACGCCGUAAACGAUGAUUACUAGGUGUGGGGGGACUGACCCCUUCCGUGCCGCAGCAAACGCAAUAAGUAAUCCACCUGGGGAGUACGACCGCAAGGUUGAAACUCAAAGGAAUUGACGGGGGCCCGCACAAGCAGUGGAGUAUGUGGAUUAAUUCGAAGCAACGCGAAGAACCUUACCAGGUCUUGGCAUCGUAUGCAUAGCUCAGAGAUGAGUGAAAUCUCUUCGGAGACAUAUAGACAGGUGGUGCAUGGUUGUCGUCAGCUCGUGUCGUGAGAUGUUGGGUUAAGUCCCGCAACGAGCGCAACCCUUACUGUUAGUUGCUACGCAAGAGCACUCUAGCAGGACUGCCGUUGACAAAACGGAGGAAGGUGGGGAUGACGUCAAAUCAUCAUGCCCCUUAUGACCUGGGCCUCACACGUACUACAAUGGCUGUCAACAGAGGGAAGCAAAGCCGCGAGGUGGAGCGAACCCCUAAAAGCAGUCUUAGUUCGGAUUGUAGGCUGCAACCCGCCUACAUGAAGUCGGAAUUGCUAGUAAUCGCAGAUCAGCAUGCUGCGGUGAAUACGUUCCCGGGCCUUGUACACACCGCCCGUCACGCCAUGGGAGUCGGUAACACCCGAAGCCUGUAGUCUAACCGCAAGGAGGACGCAGUCGAAGGUGGGAUUGAUGACUGGGGUGAAGUCGGAACAAGGUA